rnacentral:pre_miRNA from 1 species
AUCGGGAUGCUGUUUAGAUUGUGCAAGAUCUUCUCACAUCUUGACAGGCAUCCUGCUAGU